AAUAGAUACCCUGGUAGUCCACGCCGUAAACGAUGUCGACUUGGAGGUUGUUCCCUUGAGGAGUGGCUUCCGGAGCUAACGCGUUAAGUCGACCGCCUGGGGAGUACGGCCGCAAGGUUAAAACUCAAAUGAAUUGACGGGGGCCCGCACAAGCGGUGGAGCAUGUGGUUUAAUUCGAUGCAACGCGAAGAACCUUACCUACUCUUGACAUCCAGAGAACUUAGCAGAGAUGCUUUGGUGCCUUCGGGAACUCUGAGACAGGUGCUGCAUGGCUGUCGUCAGCUCGUGUUGUGAAAUGUUGGGUUAAGUCCAGCAACGAGCGCAACCCUUAUCCUUUGUUGCCAGCGGUCCGGCCGGGAACUCAAAGGAGACUGCCAGUGAUAAACUGGAGGAAGGUGGGGAUGACGUCAAGUCAUCAUGGCCCUUACGAGUAGGGCUACACACGUGCUACAAUGGCGCAUACAAAGAGAAGCGACCUCGCGAGAGCAAGCGGACCUCAUAAAGUGCGUCGUAGUCCGGA
rnacentral:rRNA from 1 species